UACGUAGGGAGCGAGCGUUGUCCGGAUUUACUGGGUGUAAAGGGUGCGUAGGCGGCUCUGCAAGUCAGAAGUGAAAUCUAUGGGCUUAACCCAUAAACUGCUUUUGAAACUGUGGAGCUUGAGUGAAGUAGAGGUAGGCGGAAUUCCCGGUGUAGCGGUGAAAUGCGUAGAGAUCAGGAGGAACACCAGUGGCGAAGGCGGCCUACUGGGCUUUAACUGACGCUGAGGCACGAAAGCGUGGGUAGCAAACAGG
rnacentral:rRNA from 1 species